rnacentral:rRNA from 1 species
GACGAACGCUGGCGGCGUGCUUAACACAUGCAAGUCGAACGGAAAGGCCCUGCUUUUGUGGGGUGCUCGAGUGGCGAACGGGUGAGUAACACGUGAGUAACCUGCCCUUGACUUUGGGAUAACUUCAGGAAACUGGGGCUAAUACCGGAUAGGAGCUCCUGCUGCAUGGUGGGGGUUGGAAAGUUUCGGCGGUUGGGGAUGGACUCGCGGCUUAUCAGCUUGUUGGUGGGGUAGUGGCUUACCAAGGCUUUGACGGGUAGCCGGCCUAGAGGGUGACCGGCCACAUUGGGACUGAGAUACGGCCCAGACUCCUACGGGAGGCAGCAGUGGGGAAUAUUGCACAAUGGGCGGAAGCCUGAUGCAGCAACGCCGCGUGCGGGAUGACGGCCUUCGGGUUGUAAACCGCUUUCGCCUGUGACGAAGCGUGAGUGACGGUAAUGGGUAAAGAAGCACCCGCUAACUACGUG